rnacentral:rRNA from 1 species
GUGUCAGCCGCCGCGGUAAUACGGAGGGUGCAAGCGUUAAUCGGAUUUAUUGGGCGUAAAGGGCGCGUAGGCUGAUGAAUAAGUCGGGUGUGAAAUCCUGGGGCUUAACCCCAGGGCUGCACCUGAAACUGUUUGUCUAGAGGAUAGGCGGAGAAAACGGAAUUCCACAAGUAGCGGUGAAAUGCGUAGAUAUGUGGAAGAACACCGGUGGCGAAGGCGGUUUUCUAGCUUACUCCUGACGCUGAGGCGCGAAAGUUAGGGGAUCAAACAGGAUUAGAUACCCUGGUAGUCCUAACCGUAAACGAUGUAUACUUGGUGUAGCUGGUCUCAACCCCAGCUGUGCCGUAGCUAACGCGAUAAGUAUACCGCCUGGGGAGUACACUCGCAAGGGUGAA